GAUGAACGCUAGCUACAGGCUUAACACAUGCAAGUCGAGGGGCAGCGGGAUUGAAGCUUGCUUCAAUUGCCGGCGACCGGCGCACGGGUGAGUAACGCGUAUCCAACCUUCCGUACACUCAGGGAUAGCCUUUCGAAAGAAAGAUUAAUACCUGAUGGUAUGAUGAGAUUGCAUGAUAUCAUCAUUAAAGAUUUAUCGGUGUACGAUGGGGAUGCGUUCCAUUAGGUAGUAGGCGGGGUAACGGCCCACCUAGCCAACGAUGGAUAGGGGUUCUGAGAGGAAGGUCCCCAACAUUGGAACUGAGACACGGUCCAAACUCCUACGGGAGGCAGCAGUGAGGAAUAUUGGUCAAUGGACGAGAGUCUGAACCAGCCAAGUAGCGUGAAGGAUGAAGGUCCUACGGAUUGUAAACUUCUUUUAUAAGGGAAUAAACCCUCCCACGUGUGGGAGCUUGUAUGUACCUUAUGAAUAAGCAUCGGCUAACUCCGUG
rnacentral:rRNA from 1 species